GAAAAGCAGUUUUACUGAAUUUACUAAAAGGAUACACUUACAAUCUACUUAAUAAAUUUAUGUUUAAGAUGGAAACAUAAUUGUAUUGUUUUAAUUCUAAAUGAAAUUCAACAUAAUCAUCAAAACAUGAUAUAAUCACUUUGCAAGAAAAUGUUCAAAUUGUUUCAGAUGUCAAACAAAUGGUGUUCAUGUAAAAUGAUUUUUUUCUGCCGUUUGAUUUAUUUAAUUAAAAUAGGCCCCUGUCACACAAUUACUUUGUAUUUUCUUCUCAACUUAAUUCCAUUGUGUAGGCUAUAAUUAAUUUAAUUCAUGUUUGUGAAAUACGUCGUUUGCGCGGGAGCAACGCGCGCGAGAGCGUCUGCGCAUGCGCUUUGAAAUCCAGACCACACCAGGACCGUUGGUUUGGAAAGGACACAUGAGGGUACUGACUGUCUUGUUUUCAGAGCUCGUUAAAAGUGACAUUUGCUGUACAUUUGGAAUUCCAAAGCCUGUUCAGACAAAUUACGAGCUAAGUCAGUCCCCAACAAAGGCAGUUAGCCUUGUAGAAGUCGGUGAAUUAACCGAUGAAUACUCCUUGGCUGACUAUUUGAUUGGACAUGUGCAGAUGGUAACGUUAAAGCGAUUUUUCUGCUGCAAAGGAUGACAUUGAUGCAGCUUGUGAACUUGCCAUCAGAGGACUGUGUAUCUAUCUUAAUGAGGACUCUAAAGAUCUCAUUCAGGAGUAUGCGGACAUGGAAGAAGAUCUUUUACAGUGUGCGAUUGAGAAGACUACCAUGGGCAUCUUCGUGAUAAAGCACACUGCAGACUAUGAAGCCCAUGAUGUAGGCAUUGUGCUAGAGGGUGUAGCAGUGCUUCAGGACAUCGACAGUGUGGAUUUUGCAACUUCAAUGUUUUUGGUCUAAUUUAUGCUCUUAACCUGCAGUACCCCACAAAGUUGCGUUUUACAUAUGAAAUUUAGCAAAAACUCAUCAUGGACUUGGAUGCGGGUGAAUUCUCUAUCAAGGCCCAAAAUUUCAAAUCUGAACUCCACCAGUGAGAUGGACUGAUUUUUGAAUGACUACUGAGACUACAAACAAUCAACCUCGGAAAAUUUCAGCAGCCUUCAUGCAAGACCACCGCAGAGGGUAAACCGUGAUCUUGUUGUUUAGACUGUUCCCCUUUGCCUGCUCUCGUUUCUUUAUCUUUUUUUUUUGUCUGAAUUUGGCCCUUCUUUGGACUGGCUCAGAAGUUGAUUGAUUAGACAGCUGAAUCUAUGAAACAUGGUUGAACUAGCAUAAAUAAGAUACUUUGUUUAUAGUUUAGGUAAGGGUCAGAUACUGUAUUUUCACAUUGUUUUGUAAUGUCUAUAUAUAAUUAUCAUUGAAACUAAAGCGUUUUUCUUGAAAUAACAUUUCCAGGUAGGGCUGCACGAUAUUGGGAAAAAAUGACAUUGCGAUAUUUUAUUUUUCUGCGAUAUAUAUUGCGAUAUGAAAUCUAAUCUAUUUUUUUCUUACAAACAAAAAUUGGGUGAGCACACUUACAUUCUCAUUUUAAAUGAUGUAAACAUCGACACCAUCGUGUCAAUUGAUUAAUAUGUGCAAGGGAGAGAGAGCAAGACAGCGCUCGUGUUGUUUGAAGCUGGUGAGCUUGCGGCCGGGGCUCACUCUCUCUCUCCCUCUCUCUUUCUCUCUUGCAUGCUCUCUCUCGUGCUCUCUCUCUCUCUCUCUCUCUCUCUCUCUCU